CCUGACGGAGUGACGCCGCGUGUGGGACGAAGGCCUUCGGGUCGUAAACCACUGUCAGUGGGAAAGAUGGGUGUCGGCGCGAUAACCGCCGGCAUUUGACGGUACCUGCAGAGGAAGCCCCGGCUAACUCUGUGCCAGCAGCCGCGGUAAGACAGAGGGGGCAAGCGUUGCUCGGAAUUACUGGGCGUAAAGGGCGCGUAGGCGGGAUGGCAAGUCGGUCGUGAAAUCCCUCGGCUCAACUGAGGAUCGUCGAUCGAUACUGCCGUUCUUGAGGAUUGCAGAGGAGACUGGAAUUCCCGGUGUAGCGGUGAAAUGUGUAGAGAUCGGGAGGAACACCGGUGGCGAAGGCGGGUCUCUGGGCAAUUCCUGACGCUGAGGCGCGAAAGCGUGGGGAGCAAACGGGAUUAGAUACCCCGGUAGUCCACGCUGUAAACGAUGACGACUAGGUGUGGGGGGGUUCAGUCCCUUCCGUGCCGCAGCUAACGCAUUAAGUCGUCCGCCUGGGGAGUACGGCCGCAAGGUUGAAACUCAAAGGAAUUGACG
rnacentral:rRNA from 1 species